rnacentral:rRNA from 1 species
UACGGGGGAUGCAAGCGUUAUCCGGAAUCAUUGGGCGUAAAGCGCCUGUAGGUUGUUUAAUAAGUCUGUUGUUAAAGACUAGGGCUUAACCCUAGAAAAGCAAUGGAAACUGCUAGACUUGAGUAUGAUAGGGGUAGAGGGAAUUUCUAGUGUAGCGGUGAAAUGCGUAGAUAUUAGAAAGAACACCGGUGGCGAAGGCGCUCUACUGGAUCAUUACUGACACUCAGAGGCGAAAGCUAAGGUAGCAAAAGGGAUUAGAUACCCCUGUAGUCCUGGCCGUAAACGAUGAACACUAGGUGUCGGGGGAUCGCCCCGGUGUCGUAGCUAACGCGUUAAGUGUUCCGCCUGGGGAGUACGCACGCAAGUGUG